GAUGAACGCUGGCGGCGUACCUAAUACAUGCAAGUCGAGCGAACAGAUAAGGAGCUUGCUCCUUUGACGUUAGCGGCGGACGGGUGAGUAACACGUGGGUAACCUACCUAUAAGACUGGAAUAACUCCGGGAAACCGGGGCUAAUGCCGGAUAACAUUUAGAACCGCAUGGUUCUAAAGUGAAAGAUGGUUUUGCUAUCACUUAUAGAUGGACCCGCGCCGUAUUAGCUAGUUGGUAAGGUAACGGCUUACCAAGGCAACGAUACGUAGCCGACCUGAGAGGGUGAUCGGCCACACUGGAACUGAGACACGGUCCAGACUCCUACGGGGGGCAGCAGUAGGGAAUCUUCCGCAAUGGGCGAAAGCCUGACGGAGCAACGCCGCGUGAGUGAUGAAGGUCUUCGGAUCGUAAAACUCUGUUAUUAGGGAAGAACAAAUGUGUAAGUAACUGUGCACGUCUUGACGGUACCUAAUCAGAAAGCCACGGCUAACUACGUG
rnacentral:rRNA from 1 species